UGAUGGUAGAGUUCAGUCUUCGACUCUUCUUGCAGUUACAUUUUUUGCAUCUAUUACAUACUAUGUCACCUAUUCUUCGUGUCUCAUAAUUUGGCCAUUACUUAUUUGACAUAGUAUGCCGGUAAGGAGAAACAUCCAUUUCCCACAGUUUCCUUAGUGAUUUCUAUGCUUGCUCGUCAACCUGUUUGAGGAUGCUCAUCCUAAUAUCUGCAUCUGCAUAAUUGGACAUUGUCAAAGGUUUAAAGGGAAAUGUCAUGCAUUACGCAGUCUCUGAAUUUUGGUGCUAACUGAAACUUUCAUUUACAUUGUGAGUUUUUUUGCUGUGUAUAUUAAGUAAAUAAUUGGUCUACCUAGAUGAACAGAAGCAUACACUGCGGAGUGUUCUAUUGACCAUGUUUCCAAAUUGUUUAAAAUAAAUCAGUGGCAUAUUUGUUAAAAAUAGAGAAUAGAACAGUUCGAAACAUUUAUGUCUAUUGUUGAAAUCACACAUUUCCUUCUGUCUUCUAAUCUUUUCAGCUUCACCUACCUUAUUGGACGAAGAUUUCGUUGAUGAAAAGGACAAAAAUACCUUUUGGAGUAGCUUGCCGCAUGGAAGGCAUGACGAGUCUGCACAUUUGAAGUUCUAUGGAUCUACAGGAUUGGAAGAUUACUCCUUUGAAGGCUCUCAUGUGCAAAGGAAGAAAAGGUAUUGUUCCUGUAAGAUUUAGACCAAAAGCAACACUCGGUCUAAAAUAGUUUCUUUCCUUGAUUGUGGAUGGUGUUAUCUUGGCAGAAAUUGUAUCAAAGAAGUAGAUGAAUACGAUGUCUCUGGUGAGCUCCCUCUCAGCUGAUCUCUAUCGUUGCCUUUUUCCUGCAAUAAUUUAGAAAUGCUGGAAGAUAUAUUUUCUAAGGAACUUAUUUUCACUACAAAUUUUAUUUCUCAAUAUGAUAACGCUUAUGCAUUAGUGAUGCCACGCACCGAUGACCUCUGUACUUUUCCCUUCUAUCUCUUUUACACAGACAGUUUUGUGUUUAUACCGAAAAGAUGUACACCACACAAAAUAGUGACUUGUGUUGCACGACUAACUCCUUAUGUCCUAUUAAUUCUGUGCUAGGAGAGUUGGAUUCAUUUGCUCCAAAGUAUCAAGCAUCAAAAUCCGAGUAUGAUUUGUUACACUCAAGAAAGGCCAGGUACUCGGAAUUCCUAUGAAGACAUAGGUUGUAUGCGCUUUUAUGGCUACAGAGUCUUACAUUGCAAUUGAUGGCAGGAAGUCUUUAAUGGAAGAUGUGAUUCUUGAACCUGACUGGUCUGC
rnacentral:lncRNA from 1 species